rnacentral:rRNA from 1 species
AUUGAACGCUGGCGGCAGGCCUAACACAUGCAAGUCGAGCGGAUGAAGGGAGCUUGCUCCUGGAUUCAGCGGCGGACGGGUGAGUAAUGCCUAGGAAUCUGCCUGGUAGUGGGGGAUAACGUCCGGAAACGGGCGCUAAUACCGCAUACGUCCUGAGGGAGAAAGUGGGGGAUCUUCGGACCUCACGCUAUCAGAUGAGCCUAGGUCGGAUUAGCUAGUUGGUGGGGUAAAGGCCUACCAAGGCGACGAUCCGUAACUGGUCUGAGAGGAUGAUCAGUCACACUGGAACUGAGACCCGGUCCCGACUCCUGCGGGAGGCCGCAGUGGGGAAUGUUGGACAAAGGGCGCAAGCCUGAUUCCGCCCUGGCGCGUCUGUGAAGAAGGUCUUCCGAUUGCUAAGCACCUUCAGUUGGGAGGAAGGGCAGUAAGCUAAUGCCCUUCUGUUUUGACGUUACCAACAGAAUAAGCACCGGCUAACUUCGUG